ensembl:snRNA U6 U6 spliceosomal RNA
GUGCUCACUUUGGCAGCCCAAAUACAGAAUUUGAAAUGACAUAGAGAAGAUUACCCCGGUCUCUGUGCAAGGAUAACACACACACAAAUAUGUGAAGCUUUCCAUAUUCUU